rnacentral:rRNA from 1 species
CGGGAAAAGCUCAAAUUUAAAAUCUGGCAGUCUUUGGCUGUCCGAGUUGUAAUCUAGAGAAGCAUUAUCCGCGCUGGACCGUGUACAAGUCUCCUGGAAUGGAGCGUCAUAGAGGGUGAGAAUCCCGUCUGUGA